rnacentral:rRNA from 1 species
GGUUUCCGUAGGUGAACCUGCGGAAGGAUCAUUACCGAUGUAAUCCAAAAGCACGACUCCGUCGUGACUACCGUGUGAACUGUACCAAACUAUUCAGGGGUCGGCCGGUCCGUUAAAUGGCGGUCGGACGCGCGUGUAGUGCGCGGCCGCUCCGCCAGCCCCGCCUGUGUUUUUUUAUAUCAUACGUGUCUUGUCUGAAAACGUGACCACUGCCGUGGUCUAGAGCAAAUGAAAAGAGAGACAACUUUUGACGGUGGAUCUCUUGGCUCACGCAUCGAUGAAGAACGCAGCCAGCUGCGAUAAGUAGUGUGAAUUGCAGAAUUCAGUGAAUCAUCGAAUCUUUGAACGCAAAUGGCGCUCUUGGGUUCUCCCAGGAGCAUGUCUGUCUGAGUGUCGGAUAUCAUCCAACGCACCCAGUCGUGCGGCGUUGAGGCGUCACGGCCCUUCUUGCGGCCGUGUCCCUUGAAAGUUAGAGAGACUCGCCGCGGCACGGGCUCGUUCCCUGCACACUCGCGGAGGCUAAAAACGCUUUUGCCCUUCGCGUGCACGGGAGCGACUCGUCCGCCGAGUCGCGGAGGCGAAAACUUUUUCAACUCUUGACCUCAGAUCAGG